CCUACGGGUGGCAGCAGUGAGGAAUAUUGGUCAAUGGACGAGAGUCUGAACCAGCCAAGUAGCGUGAAGGAUGACUGCUCUAUGGGUUGUAAACUUCUUUUAUAAAGGAAUAAAACGAGGCACGUGUGCCUUUUUGCAUGUACUUUAUGAAUAAGGAUCGGCUAACUCCGUGCCAGCAGCUGCGGUAAUACGGAGGGUCCGAGCGUUAUCCGGAUUUAGUGGGUGUAAAGGGAGCGUAGAUGGGUUGUUAAGUCAGUUGUGAAAGUUUGAGGCUCAACCGUAAAAUUGCAAUUGAUACUGGUAGUCUAGAGUACAGUUGAGGUAGGCGGAAUUCGUGGUGUAGCGGUGAAAUGCUUAGAUAUCACGAAGAACCCCGAUUGCGAAGGCAGCUUACUAAACUGUGACUGACAUUGAUGCGCGAAAGUGUGGGUAUCAAACAGGAUUAGAUACCCUUGUAGUC
rnacentral:rRNA from 1 species